UUAAUGGAGAGUUUGAUCCUGGCUCAGGACGAACGCUGGCGGCGUGCUUAACACAUGCAAGUCGAGCGGAAAGGCCCCU
rnacentral:rRNA from 1 species